rnacentral:rRNA from 1 species
AUUGAACGCUGGCGGAAUGCUUUACACAUGCAAGUCGAACGGUAGAGGGGGCAACCCCUCGAGAGUGGCGAACGGGUGAGUAAUAUAUCGGAACGUGCCCAGUCGUGGGGGAUAACGUAGCGAAAGUUACGCUAAUACCGCAUACGAUCUAAGGAUGAAAGCGGGGGAUCGCAAGACCUCGCGCGAUUGGAGCGGCCGAUAUCAGAUUAGGUAGUUGGUGGGGUAAAGGCUCACAAAGCCAACGAUCUGUAGCUGGUCUGAGAGGACGACCAGCCACACUGGAACUGAGACACGGUCCAGACUCCUACGGGAGGCAGCAGUGGGGAAUUUUGGACAAUGGACGCAAGUCUGAUCCAGCCAUUCCGCGUGCAGGAUGAAGGCCCUCGGGUUGUAAACUGCUUUUGUACGGAACGAAAAGGUCUCUCUUAAUACGGGGGACUUAUGACGGUACCGUAAGAAUAAGCACCGGCUAACUACGUGCCAGCCGCCGCAGUAAAAC